UGGGGAAUAUUGGACAAUGGGGGCAACCCUGAUCCAGCGAUGCCGCGUGUGUGAAGAAGGCCUGCGGGUUGUAAAGCACUUUAGUUGGGGAGGAGAAGGUUUGUAUGAAUAAUGCGGACUGGAGACGUUACCCAAAGAAUAAGCACCGGCAAACUCUGUGCCAGCAGCCGCGGUAAUACAGAGGGUGCAAGCGUUAAUCGGAGUUACUGGGCGUAAAGGGCACGUAGGUGGUUAUGUAAGUCAGUUGUGAAAUCCCCGGGCUUAACCUGGGAACUGCAGCUGAAACUGUAUGACUAGAGUCGAAGAGAGGGAAGCGGAAUUUCCGGUGUAGCGGUGAAAUGCGUAGAUAUCGGAAGGAACAUCUGUGGCGAAGGCGGCUUCCUGGAUUCAGACUGACACUGAGGUGCGAAAGCGUGGGUAGCGAACAGGAUUAGAUACCCUCGUAGUCCCUGAGCGGGCUGGCAAGGCGCAU
rnacentral:rRNA from 1 species